CAGGGUAUCGAGUGAUUAAUACCUCUGGUAUCUUUCGCCUCACUUUGAUAUGUAACAUUUCAGUGGUAAAGAAGGAAUACAAGCCCGACACACUAAACUCCUAAACAAACAAUUGACAAAUUAAGGAAUUCAAUCUAGGCAGCCACCUGCGAACAACAAUGGCUGGUGUGUCUACUAAGUGUGGAGAACAAGCUUCAGAUAUUUCAUCUGAAGAAGAAAAUUAU